AGGGUUUGAUCAUGGCUCAGAACGUACGCUGGCGGCACGCCUAACACAUGCAAGUCGAACGCAGUAGCAAUACUGAGUGGCGAACGGGUGAGUAUAAUGUGGGUAUCUGCCUUUUGGUUUGGAAUAACACGAGGAAACUUGUGCUAAUACCGGAUAAGCCUUCACAGGGAAAGUUUUAACGCCAAAAGAUGAGCCCGCACUUGAUUAGCUAGUUGGUAAGGUAAUGGCUUACCAAGGCUACGAUCAAUAGCUGAUCUGAGAGGAUGAUCAGCCACAUUGGGACUGAGACACGGCCCAAACUCCUACGGGAGGCAGCAGUGGGGAAUCUUGCACAAUGGGGGAAACCCUGAUGCAGCGAUGCCGCGUGAGUGAAGAAGGCCUUUGGGUUGUAAAGCUCUUUCGUCGGGGAAGAAAAUGACUGUACCCGAAUAAGAAGGUCCGGCUAACUUCGUGCCAGCAGCCGCGGUAAUACGAAGGGACCUAGCGUAGUUCGGAAUUACUGGGCUUAAAGAGCUCGUAGGUGGUUAGAAAAGUUAGUGGUGAAAUCCCAAGGCUCAACCUUGGAACUGCCACUAAAACUUUUUAACUAGAGUAUGAUAGAGGAAAGUGGAAUUUCUAGUGUAGAGGUGAAAUUCGUAGAUAUUAGAAAGAACACCGAUUGCGAAGGCAGCUUUCUGGAUCAUUACUGACACUGAGGAGCGAAAGCAUGGGUAGC
rnacentral:rRNA from 1 species